GUGUAAACUAAAACAAAAAAGAAGAAUCAAAAUGUAAACAAUGUUUCUGAGGUAACGAAACAUUUUUUUCAUCAAUCGACAAUAAAAGGUAAUAUUCGGAAACCUGGAACAGAUUGCCUGGCCGUCCGUAAUACCAUUCACACAAUGUCCUGGAGUUCCAGAUUGAUAAGCUGGUACCGGAGGAUGGUUGUUUUCUCGAGCAACGGACGGAGAACCACCUGUACUACUUGUUGUGCUGCGUAGCUGUUGCGGAAUGUGUGCACCGGACGGGGGACGAACCGUCGUUUUGGCUCUUAGAGCUGCAAUGCUGUGGCUAUAAAAGUGUACCGAAGGAUGUUUUUUACUGAGCAACACACCCGGAGAUUGAUGGAGGUGCUGCUCAGCUGGAACCGGAAGAGCACCUACAUUCUACGGUUGAAUCCGGAUUAAAUGGUGUUCAAUUAGUGUCUUUAAAAAUGAAUAACAAUAAAACGUGAAUCAAA